UGAUCAGUCAGUUACAUAGAUAUAAGCUUUUGUACAGCCACAAGGCCAUGGUUUGGGGCUUUGUCAGUUCGAACCAGAUGGAAACCGGGUGAGGGAUUUUUAAUCUGGAAGGGAUCGAGGUCUUCUUCUAUUUUGAUUUUUGGGUUGGUACUUUCUUUUAAUCCGGU